rnacentral:piRNA from 1 species
UCACAUCAGUCAAGUUGACAAAACCAAGAC